UACGGAGGAUGCGAGCGUUAUCCGGAUUUAUUGGGUUUAAAGGGUGCGUAGGCGGAACGGAAAGUCAGCGGUAAAAAUGCGGGGCUCAACCCCGUCGAGCCGUUGAAACUGUCGUUCUUGAGUGGGCGAGAAGUAUGCGGAAUGCGAGGUGUAGCGGUGAAAUGCAUAGAUAUCACGCAGAACUCCGAUUGCGAAGGCAGCAUACCGGCGCCCAACUGACGCUGAAGCACGAAAGCGUGGGUAUCGAACAGG
rnacentral:rRNA from 2 species